rnacentral:rRNA from 1 species
UACGUAGGGCGCAAGCGUUAUCCGGAAUUAUUGGGCGUAAAGAGCUCGUAGGCGGACUGCUGCGUCCGCUGUGAAAAGCUGGGGCUUAACCCUGGCCUUGCAGUGGAUACGGGCAGACUAGAGGUAGGUAGGGGAGAAUGGAAUUCCCGGUGUAGCGGUGAAAUGCGCAGAUAUCGGGAGGAACACCGGUGGCGAAGGCGGUGCUCUGGGCCUUACCUGACGCUGAGGAGCGAAAGCGUGGGGAGCGAACAGG